rnacentral:rRNA from 1 species
UGCAUAUCCAUUAAACGGAGGAAAAGAAACUAACAAGGAUUCCCCUAGUAACUGCGAGUGAAGAGGGAAAAGCUCAAAUUUAAAAUCUGGCGGUCUCUGGCUGUCCGAGUUGUAAUUUAGAGAAGUGUUACCCGUUGUUAGUCUGUGUACAAGUCUCCUGGAAUGGAGCGUCAUAGAGGGUGAGAAUCCCGUCUUUGACACAGAAUCUAAUGCGUUGUGGUAUGCUCUCAAAGAGUCGAGUUGUUUGGGAAUGCAGCUCUAAAUGGGUGGUAAAUUCCAUCUAAAGCUAAAUAUUGGGGAGAGACCGAUAGCGAACAAGUACCGUGAGGGAAAGAUGAAAAGAACUUUGGAAAGAGAGUUAAACAGUACGUGAAAUUGCUGAAAGGGAAACGCUUGAAGUCAGUCGCGUUAUCUGGGGAUCAGCCUUCCUUUUGGUUGGUGUACUUCCCAGUUGACGGGCCAGCAUCAGUUUUGAUCAGUGGAUAAAAGCUUGAGGAAUGUGGCAUCUUCGGGUGUGUUAUAGCCUCUUGUUGUAUACACUGGCUGGGACUGAGGAACUCAUAACGCCGCAAGGCCGGGUCUUGACCACGUUCGUACUUAGGAUGCUGGCAUAA